rnacentral:tRNA from 1 species
GCUCCCAUGGCAUAGUGGUCACUGCGUUCACCUUGCCCGCGGGAAACUCGGGUUCAAUUCCCGGUGGGUUCA